CACUUAGAUGUUCUGGGCCGCACGCGCGCUACACUGACGAUGGCAACGAGUUUUUCCUUCGCCGAAAGGUGUGGGUAAUCUUUUGAAACAUCGUCGUGCUGGGGAUAGAUCAUUGCAAUUUUUGAUCUUGAACGAGGAAUUCCUAGUAAGCGCGAGUCAUCAGCUCGCGUUGAUUACGUCCCUGCCCUUUGUACACACCGCCCGUCGCUACUACCGAUUGAAUGGUUUAGUGAGGACUCCUGAUUGGCGCCGCCGCCCCGGCAACGGAGCAGCGGACUGCCGAAAAGUUGUUCAAACUUGAUCAUUUAGAGGAAGUAAAAGUCGUAACA
rnacentral:rRNA from 1 species